AAUUUAACAGUUCGUGCGAUGGCGCAAUCCAUCUCACGCCUGUUUCAACCCUUUGUCUUUUGCGUACUGUAUGUUUCCUCGGCGGGUUCGCCCGCUGAUAGGACACUUCAAAACCUUUUGUAAUUGCAAUCAGCGUCAGAAAAACUAUAAUAGUUACAACUUUCAACAACGGAUCUCUUGGUUCU
rnacentral:misc_RNA from 1 species